rnacentral:rRNA from 1 species
UGGGGAAUAUUGGACAAUGGGCGAAAGCCUGAUCCAGCCAUGCCGCGUGUGUGAAGAAGGUCUUCGGAUUGUAAAGCACUUUAAGUUGGGAGGAAGGGCAGUAAGCGAAUACCUUGCUGUUUUGACGUUACCGACAGAAUAAGCACCGGCUAACUCUGUGCCAGCAGCCGCGGUAAUACAGAGGGUGCAAGCGUUAAUCGGAAUUACUGGGCGUAAAGCGCGCGUAGGUGGUUCGUUAAGUUGAAUGUGAAAGCCCCGGGCUCAACCUGGGAACUGCAUCCAAAACUGGCGAGCUAGAGUAGGGCAGAGGGUGGUGGAAUUUCCUGUGUAGCGGUGAAAUGCGUAGAUAUAGGAAGGAACACCAGUGGCGAAGGCGACCACCUGGGCUCAUACUGACGCUGAGGUACGAAAGCAUGGGGAGCAAACAGG